rnacentral:rRNA from 1 species
GAUGAACGCUGGCGGCGUGCCUAAUUCAUGCAAGUCGAGCGAACAGACGAGGAGCUUGCUCCUCUGACGUUAGCGGCGGACGGGUGAGUAACACGUGGAUAACCUACCUAUAAGACUGGGAUAACUUCGGGAAACCGGAGCUAAUACCGGAUAAUAUAUUGAACCGCAUGGUUCAAUAGUGAAAGACGGUUUUGCUGUCACUUAUAGAUGGAUCCGCGCCGCAUUAGCUAGUUGGUAAGGUAACGGCUUACCAAGGCAACGAUGCGUAGCCGACCUGAGAGGGUGAUCGGCCACCCUGGAACUGAGACACGGUCCAGACUCCUACGGGAGGCAGCAGUAGGGAAUCUUCCGCAAAGGGCGAAAGCCUGACGGAGCAACGCCGCGUGAGUGAUGAAGGUCUUCGGAUCGUAAAACUCUGUUAUUAGGGAAGAACAAAUGUGUAAGUAACUAUGCACGUCUUGACGGUACCUAAUCAGAAAGCCACGGCUAACUACGUG